AAAUGUUCCAUCAUCAUUAAUUUUGCAGGCAAUAAAGCUGAUUGGUUGUAUAUUAAAAAAUUGGCAGAUUCAUUUGAAAGCUGCAAGGAUUUUCUGUUGUUCAUCUUGAAUAUAGAAAGGAGGAAGAACCAAGGGUUGUUUGUUGUAAUCUUGAUCGAAUUUUUUCAUUAAUAGUAAAGUUGUUUUCUUAUGAAGACAUCCAAGUCAGUAAUCAAUUCUUGUGUUCUUCUCAUCUCUUUAUCUUGGUUUUAAUUUCUUUUCUGAUUUUUUCCGGCUGUGUUCUGUUUAACUGUGUAUAUUUGAAUAUCAGUUUAUGUAAACCAAAUUGAUUGAUUGAAGUCCAACGAUAUAUUUAGAGACGAAAGUGAUGUUUGUUUUAACAUGUUGAUCAAAUUGAUAUUCAAAAUCUUUGAAGGGCAACUGGAUCUGCCACGUUAAUAAUGUAUCCAUGGAAGACUGUAUUUUUUUUAUAAGCAAAUAUUUUUGACAAGAAAGAUCUUUUAAGAGUCGGUUGAAAACUCUUAACUGGCAAGAGCGACGAUAAAUCGAAAGAGGAUUAAAAAAUUUAGCGCAAGUGGAAGCUCCAAUACCACAAUCCAACAUUGGGUUUAAGCUACUCAAACAGAUGGGUUAUACUCCAGGUUCUGCCCUUGGAAAGAAAGGCUCGGGAAGGGCUGAACCGAUUGGGAUUGAAAUUCGACAAUCACGAACAGGUAUAGGCUUAGAUGUUCAAUUACUGAGUGACGAGUUCAAUUACCGGCUCUUCUGUGGAUGCAAAGUCUGGAGCAAGUACUUUUGUUGGCUGGAAAUUCAUACUAUGAAGAUUGCUAAGCUCACUCCUAGUGGAUGAUUAAGCCUCGAGACAUUCUCACUAGAGCACAACAUCGUGGUAAUACAAGCGUUGUCAUUUUCCAAAUACCGGAGUUGUCUCUAGUUACAGUACUGCUUGGUGGUUGUCCGAUCUUCAAGGUGUUCAACCCUAUUGUAGGAUUUAGGUGAAAUUGGCUACACGGUUUGUGAAAUUCCAUUCGUAUCGGAAUUUUUCAUAAAAUAUACUAAUCAUUUUUACAAUUUUAGACUAUUGUUCCCAACUGGAUUCAGAGUCGAGAUGGGAUAUCCAUUUCCCCAACAGGAAGCGAGACCGAGCGUGGAUAAUGCAGAGGGGUAGGCUGCUCGACCGUUUAUGCAUAAAGGAAAAGAAAUUAAUAAGGUAAAAUUUCAAAAGGAAACAAUUGAUGGUUGAACAUGAACAUUGUGUCCAUUUAACAUACUAAGAUCACCAUAUUCUUCAUUGUUCAUAAUAAUUUCACCAUCAUCUUUGUUCAUAAUGAUUUCA